UUCAUCCUUGGAAGGACAAUAUGCCAAUGAAGAUGCAACAGCAUUGGUUGAACUUGCUUCAAAGUGUCUCCAAUAUGAGGCAAGGGAUCGACCUGAAAUUAAGUUCAUUCUAAAUGCAGUGGAGCCCCUUCAAAAGCAGAAGGAGGCCGCGUCACAUGUCCUGAUGGGUCUAACAAAAACUCCAGUGGUGCUUCCAACCAUGCUCUCACCUCUAGGAAAGGCUUGUGCGAGGAUGGACCUCACUGCUGUCCAUGAUAUCUUGCUCAAAACAGGUUAUAAAGAUGAGGAGGGUGCUGAAAAUGAGCUCUCAUUCCAAGAAUGGACACAACAAGUUCAAGAUAUGUUGAAUACCAAGAAAUUUGGGGAUAUUGCUUUUCGGGACAAGGAUUUUAAGAAUGCAGUUGACUAUUACUCUAAGUUAGUAUCAAUGAUGUCUGUUCCUUCUGGCACUGUUUUCGUGAGGCGAGCCCUUUCCUACAUGAUGAAUGGCCAACCAGAACUCGCACUAAGGGACGCUACGCAAGCCCAGGUGUGCUUGCCCGAGUGGCCUACUGCAUUUUAUAUGCAGGCUCUUGCCCUAUCCAAGCUUGGUAUGGAAACUGAUGCACAAGACAUGCUCAAUGAUGGUGCCUCCUUUGAAGCAAAGAAGUUAAACAGUUGGCGUAACUGAUUCUGGCACGUUUCAUGUGUCAAGAACCUCACAGCCUAUAAUGCAGCUAGAGGUAGCUAUAGUAAGGAUGAGAUAGGAGGAGGAACCAAAGGUAAUGUGGUGUUUGGGGAUUAUAUUUAUCUCGUCCCUUGCUCUUCUGUAGCCAAUACAGUUCCAUACAGAAAAUGUAUAAAUCACUCUAGUGAAAACCCUCGUAGUUUAUUCUGCGAUGAAUGCCAAUUUUUAGUUUUGAAACUCAUCAAGAGUUCUUUCAUUGGUCAUGUUUAAGGGUAAACAUUACUGCCAAG
rnacentral:misc_RNA from 1 species